rnacentral:lncRNA from 1 species
AAUCUGAGGAGCUCUGAAAAGUAAAUUUGUCCUUCCUAAUUUGUACUCCGUUCCGUGAGUAAGAAAUUGCUCUUUGAUUCGAAAGCCUUUCUGAAAGAGUAGAAUUGCACACGGGUGUUGCACUCUCAAGGCUGGUACUCACCACUCAACUGUGCGGCUUUGAACCGGAAGCUGGUGAAGCUUCAAGGUGCAGUCACAAGUCCAGCUGCAUGAUGUUGGAUGUUCUAUCCUCUCGAGAGAAAUGGGCAAGCUCGUCCCACCAAGAGCACACUCGCCUCUGGUUAAUACUGGUGAGAGACACACGGCAGCCAGGCAGGCCCUUCUCGGCCCCACCCUCCUUCAUUCCGGAGGCAUUUCAGGAAGUCCUCAGGCCACACCUGGCACGACAGAAAACCUACUGACCCAGCUGACUUUAACGCUGCCACAUGGCUUCAAGAAUCUCAGCACAAGGAGCCUCAUUCUCCAGGGCCACCCGUUCAGGGUAGCGCCACUGUGUACAGAAC